UACGUAGGGUGCGAGCGUUGUCCGGAAUUAUUGGGCGUAAAGAGCUCGUAGGCGGUCUGUCGCGUCUGCUGUGAAAAUCCGGGGCUCAACCCCGGACUUGCAGUGGGUACGGGCAGACUAGAGUGUGGUAGGGGAGACUGGAAUUCCGUGGUGAUAGCGGUGAAAUGCGCAGAUAUCAGGAGGAACACCGAGUGGCGAAGGCAGGUCUCCUGGGC
rnacentral:rRNA from 1 species